UACGUAGGGUGCAAGCGUUAAUCGGAAUUACUGGGCGUAAAGCGUGCGCAGGCGGUUGUGCAAGACCGAUGUGAAAUCCCCGGGCUUAACCUGGGAAUGGCAUUGGUGACUGCACGGCUAGAGUGUGUCAGAGGGGGGUAGAAUUCCACGUGUAGCAGUGAAAUGCGUAGAGAUGUGGAGGAACACCAAUGGCGAAGGCAGCACUCUGGGACGUGACUGACGCUGAGACGCGAAAGCGUGGGGAGCAAACAGG
rnacentral:rRNA from 1 species